rnacentral:lncRNA from 1 species
UUCAAGUGUCAGCGGAAACUUUCAGCAGAAUCAACAUUUCAACAUUGCCCUAAUCAGGUCUAAAUCCUUCCUUUUCUUUUUCUUUCUUCAACAUUUCAGCCUUCUUUCUUUUUCUUCUUUUUUUUCUAAAUCCCUAACUAAAUCCUUCUUUCUUUUUCUUCUUUUUCUAAAUCUUUAAUUUCUUUAUUCACAAUAUAGAAAGGGUUAUAACCGUGGGAACGAGGAAGAACAUAAAGAACUCUCAAAAAUUACUCUAAAAGGAAGUGGAGAAGAAAGGGAGAAAGUUGAACCGAGAAUUAAAGAGAAAAGAGACUCUUUGUGCUUUAGUAGGUAUUGUAUCGAUGUAUCUAAAUUCUUAAUAUCUUCUUUCUUUGAAACAAAGUUGUUCGUAGGUUGAAUCUUUGUUUCAUGACGUAUGUUGGUGAGAAAUAUGUUUGACUUGUUAAUCUCACGAAAGCAGUGUUUUCUUUAAUACACUUGUUCCCAUGAAAGCAAUGGUUGUAGACUUAAAUGUAUUGAAGAAAUGUCAUGUACUUGUAUAUACAUAUAGAUAUGUGUGAAUAUGGAAAAAAAAAUGGAUGGAUCGGGUCUAUUCGAACUUAAAAACGGACUUUAGCAUGACCCGUAAUCAGCUCUAGUUAGUUAUGGAGAGGAGAGAGGAGAGAGGAGAGAGAAUAGAAAGAAAAUGAAUCAUGGAGAAAGAAUAAGGAAAAAAGG